GGAGGCGGUACUUCCUCCAGCAUUUGCCGCGAGUUAUUGGCAAGUUCCCCUGCAGUUGUUUGGGCUGUCGCUGUGGCUGGUUCUGCGGUGUGCGGCCAGCCAUGGAGCGCUCUGGGCCCAGCGAAGUGACAGGCUCAGACGCAUCGGGACCGGACCCGCAGCUUGUGGUCACCAUGGGCUUCACGGGGUUCGGGGUUCGGUAAAAAAGCUCACACAUUUGACUUGGAAGCAAUGUUUGAACAAACUCAAAGAACAGCUGUGGAAAGAAGUCACAAAACACUGGACCAGAUUACAGAGGGGUAUUGAUUUGCCUUGCCCCCGCCCCCACCAUCACAGUGUGUCCCUGUCCAGUGUUGGUGCUGUGUGGCAUUGCUUGUGUCCAUAGGAGUCCAUCAAGGCAGAGCGGCAGAGCGGCAAGCAGAGCGGCAAGGCAGGUCAGCUUCCGGCUCUUCCAGGCUGCAUGUCCCCCUCAAUAUCCUUUCAACCCAAUGGAAAUGGAUUGAAAGAGUGAAAGUCACUGGUCUCAAAGAAUCUACGGAAUUUAGCAUUUUGAAAAUCACAGAGCAAUUUUGGGUAGGUAUUCACAUGCACUAAAAAACCAGGCAAACAUCUGACUCCCAGGAUAAAGUGACUGAGAGCAGUAGAAGACUUGUUGAGCCUUAAGGAAUAAGAGGAAAAUUAUGUUAUGAAGUGCAGGAACAGCACAGACCCAGACGAGGGGAUGCAGCCCGGAGCCAGUAACCCGGCGCCUCCUCCUCCCCAGGGCGCAGCGCUGGCUGCUCCCCGGAUACCGUGAUCACACGUCCCAGGUCCUGAGAGCGCCUCAUAGGUAGACAGUUCUUUGGGACUUUUGGGACGCAGCACUUGAAGAGAGGUUUACCUAAACUUUCCUCCUGGGAGCCUGUCAUCAUUUGAAAGUAACAGAAGAAAGCUGUCAGGCUGAGGAAAGUUUCAACAGGCACUUGGUGAGAAUGGGAAGCAUCCAUUCAUUGGGAAAUCACGGGGACAGAGGAGGAAUUCACGGGAUCAGAGCACUGAGAAACUCCAGAGGCUUCUGGUUCACCGCCCUGAUUCCACAGAUGUGGGUCAGAGGCAGAGAUGGAAGUUGGAAUGGACAAGCCUGCCCUCUCCUCAGCUCUCCAUGGCUCUGUCCUCAGGCUGUUUCUGCAAUUUGACAUGAGGCCUGGCCCCAGGGAAACCAGUGGGGCCUCAUCUCCUCCCUGUGCUGCUCUGAGGUGGAGCCUUCUCAGGGUCAGUCCAGCUCUGGAGCCCCUCUCCAGCUCGGUCACCAAAGCUGUCUGGUCCCAGGGCAGUGUGGAGUGACAGGCACGCCAGCCAAUCCAAUCGGCCAUUUCAUACCCAAUGCAUGUGACUGAUAAAGAGAUAACACCCUGUCUCCAAGACACAGGCUUUACAUAAACAGCUUUAAUGACUUCUUCACUUAGGGACAAGACUCCUUAGUGGUGGAACCUCAGGCAUCCAUGCAGGAUGUAAGAAAGCUCCCGUAUAUACAUGAACUGAGAAGUGUGUAGAAGAGUAAAUACUGUAAUAGGUAAUAAAAUGUAUGUAUUUUUAUUUAUGUGCUACUUUGUCUUUCUCCCUCUCUGUGUAUAUACACAUACAUACAAAAAUGUAUUCAUUCUAUGGAAAACAUGAAAGAUGUAAUAUUCUUUACAUAUUUAAUUAAUGUAUUUUUUCUGAUCAUAUGAACACCACAAAUAUAAUUUUAUAAUUUUUUUACCUAACAAUAAGUCUUAAACAUAAAUAUACAUGGACAAUAUCAUAGUUUUUUUUUUAAUCAUAAUUAAAAUGGUUGUGAAACAAAAAAAAAAAAAA
rnacentral:lncRNA from 1 species